GGGGGGGCUCGUCCUUACGUGGUUCUCAACCGCCGAUUGAGAUUUGGAGGGAGACUACGAGACCCAGGCGAAAACGAGUGUGCUAGCGGAGGCUCCGGGGAUGCAGGGUGAUAGGGCCCAGUCUAUGCUCCGGUUGUGUUGUUGGGUGAGCUUCUUCACCCUUCCGGUUGUGCUGUUGGUUCCAGUCUAUGAGCAAUUUUUUUUGUUUAUUACUGUUGACCAGAUGCUCAGAUCUAGCUAGGCUUCCAUAUAGAAUUUUUUAAGCUUUUAAAUUUGUUGUGUGCCUCGGAUAAGUUACUGCAAAUGGGAUUAUUGUUCCUGCUCAGGAGAUGCUCUCUGGCCUGACUAGAGUCAUAGAAAGAUUUUUUGUUGCCAUUCUUAGUUUGUUUGGUACCUUGCUCUUUCCUUGUCAAGAAAGGGAUCAAUUUGUCCUGGAGCUCCUGUCCCCUUUAUAAAGGAGGUUUUUGUUCCUUUGCUUGAUGUGUUUCCCUCCUUUGAAUUGUAGGAUUUUCAAGAUGGGCCUUCCUAUCCAUAAGUUUGUCUUUAUACUGCAUAUUAAUUCACUCUUUUGGGUAGGUAACUAAAGUCCUGUAACUUUACCCCAUCCGAGUUUUGCUUUACAACAACUUGAUUGCUUCUGUAUUUGUGUAGUUUUCUGCAUAUUCGUACAACCCUGAAUGUUGUUCCGUUCCUUAAUAAAUACAUCGCUCUACAGGGUUGAUUAAAGAAGUUAACUCUUCUUCAUAACAGUUUUUCAAAUGCCCUGAUGGGAUGACCCUAAACAUGGAUAGUUUAACUUGGUAUAUCAGCUCAAACACCUGAUCCGCAAAAUGUAGAAAUUAUCUUGACGCAACUAAGGAAGACACUGGGCAGGUAUUUUUUCAUUAUACACUUCACGGUGUAUGCACUAAUUUCUUCUUAGCUAAACAUUGUCGGAGUGGUCACUUUAUUGCAGUGUCUUAUUUUCAGAUCUCAUGUUCCUCAAGAUAAUGGACAAGAAUGCGUUUUUGGUAGUAUGGCACCAUUACAAUAUAUUUUCUACUAUGUCGUUCAUUUGUUAUGCACCAUCUUUAAGGAAGCAUAGAGAAUGUUUGUUUGCCAUUGUUAUAAAUCUGUAUCUGAAUAUUAUUUGUAGAUUUAUGUUUGGAAACACCAAUCACGAUAAUGUUUUUGUGUGUGUAGAAAGAUUUGCAUAUUUCAUAUACUAAUACAGAAAUUGAACAAUUGUAAGAAAUAUGGUUGGAGAUGUCAUGUAAACUGGUAGUUUUCAUAAGAAGAUAAUUGUCAUGUUAUAUGAUAUACUAUUAGGUUAUUUGUAGUACUACUGCAUUUUCUUAUAUAGUUACACUAAUUUAAUGUGUAGGUGACAAGGCGUUGGAUUGGAGCCAUGAUUUACUUAGUAGCUUUAUUGGCUGGCAUCGAACUAUUUGGUGCUACAAUUAUUAGGCUUGCUCUUAGUACUCCUCUAGACAGGGAACGUUGAUGACUCCAUACAGGUAACUCUUUUGAAAUCA